rnacentral:rRNA from 1 species
UGAUAGCUGGUUUCUCAAGAAAAGAAUCUUAGUUCACCCUAAAGCCCACAUAAUAAUAUAAAUAACAACACAACUUUAGAGCAAUCCAAACAAGGGACAGCCUGUUUGAAAAAGGAUACAACCUUCACUCGCGGGUAAUGAUACUCACUAUAACACCAAGUAGACCUAAAACCAGCCAUCUUAGUAAAAUGCGUUAAAGCUUUAUCUUAUACCACUCUUUCUCUUUUCCCACCCCCGAAUCACUAUUGAGAACUUCUAUACCGUAUAGAAACUUUUAUGUUAAAACUAGUAACAAGAACCAAUUCUCUUAAAUACACGUGUAUGUUAGGGCGAACUCACCACUAACACUUAUCUGCCAUGAAAAACAAUAGCAACUCCCUAAGAAAACCCUAUUAAUUAUUUUGUUAACCCUACACAAGAGUACUUCAAGAAAGAUAAAAAUGGAAAGAAGGAACUCGGCAAAAUGGGGGAUCCCGCCUGUUUACUAAAAACACCGCCUCUUGACUACCAUAAGAGGUCCAGCCUGCCCAGUGAGAAAUUCAACGGCCGCGGUAACCUGACCGUGCAAAGGUAGCGUAAUCACUUGUUCUUUAAAUGAGGACUAGUAUGAAUGGCACCACGAGGGUUACACUGUCUCCUUUUUUUAAUCAGUGAAACUAAUCUUCCCGUGAAGAAGCGGGAAUUUUUUUAUAAGACGAGAAGACCCUAUGGAGCUUUAAACAAAUUAACACUUGCUGCCUAAAACAACCCUUCCAGAAACACAACACACAGCAUAGCAUUAUGAUUAAUAGUUUUAGAUUGGGGUGAUCACGGAGUAAAAAAUAACCUCCAUGCCGAAAGGAGCCUUCCUGAGCAAAAAGCCACAACUUUAAGCACUAAAAAAUUAACGUUUAUUGACCCAAUAUUUUGAUCAACGAACCAAGUUACCCUAGGGAUAACAGCGCAAUCCACUUCAAGAGCUCCUAUCGACAAGUGGGUUUACGACCUCGAUGUUGGAUCAGGGUGUCCCAGUGGUGCAGCCGCUACUAACGGUUCGUUUGUUCAACGAUUAAAACCCUACGUGAUCUGAGUUCAGACCGGAGUAAUCCAGGUCA